CUUUUAAAGUAGAAUUCUAUCAUUGCAGUUCCCCUCCUAGGGAUUCAGUAAAGAUAAAUGAGCACAAUAUGCAUGAAUGUGACCUCUGGGACAGAUUCAGUCAUCACAGAGUCAGCAUCUACUUUGGGUUCAUCAUCUGUUUCUUGUGCCACAUAUGGUAUCUUGUUAUCUCCCACACCAACCCUUUGAAGUAUGGAUUAUUACCAUCCAUUCAUGGAUGAAGAAAUUGAAGGUCAAAGAAUAUAAAUGACAAACUUAGCACUCUACAGGAAUAUGUGGUGGAGACCGUCUAUAGGAACCAAGAUCUUUCACAAGUUUAUUUUCUACACAGGAGCCGUUUUCUAUCAAAUGUUCUGUAAGGAAGGUCACUGGGAUUAAGAGUGAGAGAAGGCUCCUGAAGCUAAAAGGAUGAUCCUCUACUACUCUCUGUUUUAUAGUCUUGUUUUUUUAAUAGAGUUGGAAAGAAAAGUAAAGCUUCUCUCUUUCUUAGGUAAAAAUGACCAUAACUGUGCAAGGGAAGAAAUGGUUACAGCUUAGCUAGGUUGACCCAAUAAAAUGGCUAUAAUACUUUUAAAAUAAAAUAUUUAUACCCCAUCAA